rnacentral:rRNA from 1 species
AGAGUUUGAUCAUGGCUCAGAAUAAACGCUGGCGGCGUGCUUAACACAUGCAAGUCGAGCGAGAAAGCUUCUUCGGAAGUUAGUACAGCGGCGGACGGGUGAGUAACGCGUGAGAAUCUACCCUUUAGUGAAGAAUACCCUCGAGAAAUUGGGGUUAAUACUGCAUACGUCUCUUCGGAGAGAAAAGUGGCCUCUUUGCU